AGGAGUGUGAGAGAGUCUGAGUGGGAAAGAUGGGGAGAGAGACUGAAUAAGGAGAGGAGAAAAAAGAUUGCUGUAAAGAGAGAACAAGGUUUUAAUGAUGUUUUGGGCCAUGAAACAACUGUGCGUGAUAUUUCACACACGUUGACAUAACUGUACAUCCCGUGCUUUUAUUAGCAACGAGUGUUGAGAGUGGCGAUGUAUAUGAAGACUUGGUGAAGAGAGUGAGAGACUGUUUGAAGUGGAAGAGUUUGUUGAGUAUUUGAGAGACUUUAACACGAGACAGUGCUCACAUCUGCUAAGAAUCUACAGUAUGCUUUAAUCAACACAAUCAGAGCGAGACUUGCAGAAUUUACAUGGACCACGGAUCUGAACAACACCAGAUAGCCCGUCGAGCACUGUGAGCUCAGUUGGUCCUCUGGCAGCAAGGGAGUGAAAUCAAUGGCAAUUUCACCACUGUUCGCUGGACAUCGGUUCAACCCUGGAUAUUGAGAUUAUUGCAUCGAUCUCAAAGCACCGCUUAUCAAGACCACCACCACAACAAACAAUUGCGUGAGGGAUUCACAUCAAUCUCAAACCCUCACCACUCAGGAACAACAAACAAUUUGCGAACCGGCUGGAUCCAGCUCCAUUCCUGCUUCGUGUUGGACUCCACUGCUACAUGUCGCUGAAUGAUGAUGACUAAAUGCAGCCGGUGCCAGCCAUACAUCACUUCAGUCUAUUAUGAUGGACUUCAGAGGAUGAACUGAUGCCAACUCCAACCUGCAUCACCUCGGUCUAUUGAUGGACUACGAUCUUGAAAUGGAAUGCAUAGACUAACUAUUGCCAACAAAAGCCUUCAUCAGCCAAUUAACAAGGACAAUUGCUUCUAUGUGAACUUCUGCAAUUAAUCAAGAUGGACUUCAAAGAUAUUGGUCAUUAAUCUUAGUUCAAACACAAUCGAUGUUUAAACACUGACCCUUAACACUUAGUUUAAUAAUUUUAAACCAUGAUUUUAACUAUACAUAAGCAAUAUUGGCAUUAUAUUCAUAAUGUUAGUCAGAGGGGAACUGGCCCCCACAGUGAUUUCUCCCAAGGUUAUUUUUCUCCAUUAAUCUACAUCUUAUGGAGUUUUGUGUUCCUUGCCACAGUCGCCUACAGCUUGCUCACUGGGGUUAUUAAUACAAUUAUUAUUUGAUUAUUUUUAAACACGAUUAAGAAUCUUAUUUUAUCUAAAUUACACAAUGAUGAUUCAUCGACAUUAUAGACAUUACAGUUUUAUCGUCUAAUAAAGAUGAUUUUCUGUAAAGCUGCUUUGAAACGAUGUGUGUUGUGAAAGGCGCUAUACAAAUAAAAUUGGCUUGACUUG